rnacentral:rRNA from 1 species
CCUACGGGUGGCAGCAGUCGAGAAUCUUUCACAAUGGGCGAAAGCCUGAUGGAGCGACGCCGCGUGGAGGUUAAGGUCUUCGGAUUGUAAACUCCUGUCAUUAGAAGCCUAGUACCACAAGAGGAAGAGACGGCUAACUCUGUGCCAGCAGCCGCGGUAAUACAGAGGUCUCAAGCGUUGUUCGGAAUUACUGGGCGUAAAGGGUGCGCAGGCCGCGCGGGCAGUCAAUUGUGUAAUUCAGGGGCUCAACCUCUGGACUGCGCUUGAUACUUCCGUGCUAGAACCUUGGAGAGGAGUCUGGAAUUCUCGGUGUAGCAGUGAAAUGCGUGGAUAUCGAGAAGAACACUUAGGGCGAAGGCAAGACUCUGGACAAGGUUGACGCUCAUGCACGAAGGCUAGGGUAGCGAACGGGAUUAGAUACCCUUGUAGUC